rnacentral:rRNA from 1 species
CUACAAAUGAAUUGACGGGGCCCGCACAAGCGGUGAGCAUGUGGUUUAAUUCGAAGCAACGCGAAGAACCUUACCAGGUCUUGACAUCCCCUGACAACCCGAGAGAUCGGGCGUUCCCCUUCGGGGGGACAGGGUGACAGGUGGUGCAUGGUUGUCGUCAGCUCGUGUCGUGAGAUGUUGGGUUAAGUCCCGCAACGAGCGCAACCCUCGACCUUAGUUGCCAGCAUUCAGUUGGGCACUCUAAGGUGACUGCCGGCUAAAAGUCGGAGGAAGGUGGGAUGACGUCAAAUCAUCAUGCCCCUUAUGACCUGGGCUACACACGUGCUACAAUGGUUGGUACAACGAGUUGCGAGUCGGUGACGGCGAGCUAAUCUCUUAAAGCCAAUCUCAGUUCGGAUUGUAGGCUGCAACUCGCCUACAUGAAGUCGGAAUCGCUAGUAAUCGCGGAUCAGCACGCCGCGGUGAAUACGUUCCCGGGCCUU